GAUGAACGCUAGCGGCAGGCUUAAUACAUGCAAGUCGAGGGGCAGCAUGACUGUAGCAAUACAGUUGAUGGCGACCGGCAAACGGGUGCGGAACACGUACGCAACCUACCCAAACUGAGGAAUAGCCCGGGGAAACCCGGAGUUAAUACCUCGUAACAUAAUUGAAUGGCAUCAUUUAAUUAUUAAAGCUCCGGUGGUUUGGG
rnacentral:rRNA from 1 species